ACCAUGACAAGUGUGGUGAUCUUGUGAGUGUGCUUACGACCAUAACAAGUGGCAUCAUAGUGAGGUUUUGACGUAAGAGAAGAAGACGAUGGCGGUCAACGGUGUCUGCGGAUCCCAACCAGUUCUCCCAAUAUUCAAAGGGGUGAACUAUGAUUUCUGGUGCAUCAAGAUGAAGAUGCUCUUGCGGUCACAAGAUCUAUGGGAUCUUGUGGAGAAAGGGUCUACUGAUGUGAGCCCAUAUACCGCAAGGAAGGAUGCUAAGGCGAUGUUCCUCAUCCAGCAGGCCAUUGAUGAGAAAAUUUUUCCUCAUAUUAUUGUGGCUAGGAAAGCAAAGGAGGCAUGGGACACACUACAAAUCGAAUAUCAAGCCGAUUGGGAAGGCUUGGGAGCUAUGUUUUACUGUUGGAGAGGGAGGUUUUGAAGGUUUCUCGCAGUCCUAGCUCGACAAGAAACUAAGUUGAAGUUUAGUAAGCUGGUUUUGGAAGAGAUUAAAGCAGCAAUAGAAGUGAUGAUUUGCUGUUAUUCUUCAACUAUAAUCUAGGGAAAACAGAUUUGAAGCCUGGAAAAGUGGAUAUGUGAACCCUGUGGCUGAAUUUUGGGAGACUUUUGAAGCUAGUAUUGACUGUGACUCAUCCAUCUUAACUACAAGAAAAGCUCAUUUGAGGUGUGGAGAGGUUCACAGCAGGGGAUUGGACCCUUUUGAGCUGAGUUGUGGUUAUUGUAGGCGAGUUUAGGAUGCUCCUAAACCUGAGGGAAGUGAAGGUUUAACCUGGGUUUAUACCUAGGUUCGCAGCGGACCAUUUGAUCUUUUCGGGUAAACUUUGGAAGCUUUCAAAGGUUAAAAUUGGUAUUCUACCCUGAACCGAAGUGGGGAUUCAAGUAGUAGCAUUAUACUAGGGUACUCAGAGGCUGUGGAUUACCAUUGUUCGUGGGGUCAACACGAGUCGUCGAUUACUUGGAAUUUUCUCUCUCUAGAUAAAAGUCGCCGUUUUGCGCCGAUUUCACGCCGCGCUCGAUUCUCGCUGGUUGGAAGACUCAAGGGAGGUCUUUGGAACGUGGAAAAGAAGGGUUUUAUCGUGUUUCCUGUGAGGUUACUGCCAGGGAAGCUGAUUCUCAGCUUUAGAGACGUUCUCGAACCACUUGGGGCUAAUUUGGUGACCAGGGAGACUAGUUUGGAAGGUGUUCUAACUAAGGCGAGAGGGUAGUUGACCCUUGGACCGCCUUCGAUUGGCAUUGGAGGGCCUUUUGGAAGCUUAAUUUGAGAUAUUGAACUGAACCAAAAUAGGGAAUUAAGCUUCCACUCUGUAUUUAUUGAGAAUUUUGCCGAAAUUGGAUUAUUAAGUAAUCGUUUUGACGCGGUUUUCAUGCUUUGUUUUCAGCAGGUCCAGAGACCGUUUGAGCUGAGUUUGGAGCUUCUAUUGGGCUAUUUUGAGCUUAGUGAUAGGUGGGUUUGACCUAACCAGAGCAAGUGAAGCUCCCCUAUGUUCUAUAUGUCACUAUAGAAUGGGUUUUGUAGUGCGCUUUUUGCGACUAUGUGAUUGAUAUGAAUUUGGACAUCCUUGUUACCAUGUUUGAUAUGUUUGACAUUGUACCUCUAUGAAGUAGAGAUGAAGUAGAGAGACUGCAUGCAUAAAAGUAUUUAUGAUCAUGUCUAAUACUGUAGAAUGACUUAUGAACAAGUGUAGGAU